CCAGGCAGAUAGCCACUUGGUAGGAGAGAGACACGUACCGGACAGUGGAUACUCUAUGGGCUACUGUGCAUAGGCCAACGCGCUCUGCUUCAGCCUUCGUAUGAAACUAACUUUCUCCAGCAACAUAAAUGCACCAAUAAAGAAAGGUGUGUCCUGGAAGGACCAGUUAGAGGUAUGGUGGGAGUGGUUGGCCCCGUAACCAUGACGACGUCUCUGUGGGAGUUUGUGUCCCUUCAUCCCGUUGGUCUAGUGCUGCUCCUCUGCCUGCCACUCGGUCUAUGCCAGCAGCCAUUGGUCAACUUUGAGAGUCCGUUCCCACCCCUACCGGAGUGUACCAGGAAAGUUCAUCCCAUCGUCCCAUACAAAGCAUUGAGUCCCUGGAUGUCAGGAUUCUCUCGUCCCGGAGUGAAGGACUUUUCCCAGCUGACCCUUGACCUGACCAGAAACCAGCUGAUUGUGGGAGCUAGAAAUCACCUCUUCAGACUAAGUCUCAGUAAUGCUUCUCUCUUACAGGCAGUAGAAUGGGGACCAGAUGAAGACACCAAGCGGUCCUGUCAGAGCAAAGGAAAGACAGAGGAUGAAUGUCAGAACUACAUCCGGGUCCUGCUUAUCACCGGGAGGCGGAUCUUUACCUGUGGAACCAACGCCUUUACCCCCGUCUGCACCACCCGGCAGAUAGGAAACAUCAGUCGGGUGAUGGACACGGUGAACGGGGUGGCGAGAUGCCCCUACGACCCGCGUCACAACUCCACUGCCAUGGUAACAGAGAAGGGCGAACUCUACGCCGCCACUGUCAUCGACUUCUCGGGUCGUGACCCCGUCAUCUACCGUAGCCUUGGUAACAUGCCGCCGCUGCGAACAGCCCAGUACAACUCCAAAUGGCUCAACGACCCUCACUUUAUCUCAGUCUACGAGGUGGGUCUCUUCACCUAUUUCUUCCUGAGAGAGAACGCAGUCGAACACGACUGCGGUCGCACCGUGUUCUCCCGGGUCGCCCGGGUCUGUAAGAACGACGUGGGCGGUCGCUUCCUAUUGGAGGACACUUGGACUACGUUCAUGAAGGCGCGGUUGAACUGCUCGCGGUCAGGAGAGAUCCCCUUCUACUAUAACGAACUGCAGAGCACCUUCUAUCUGCCAGAACAGGACCUCAUCUACGGCAUCUUCACCACCAACGUGAACAGCAUCUCUGCGUCGGCUGUGUGUGCUUUCAACCUCAGCGCCAUCACCCAGGCGUUCAACGGACCGUUCCGUUACCAGGAGAACCCUCGUACAAGCUGGCUCUCCACCCCCAACCCCAUCCCCAACUUCCAGUGUGAUACCCUGGAGGAGCGAGGUCCAGGGGAGAACCAGACGGAGCGCAGCCUGCAGGACGCCCAGCGUCUCUUCCUCAUGUCUGACGUGGUGCAGCCCGUCUCCACCGACCCCCUCCUGUACCAGGACAACAUCCGCUUCUCCAAGCUGGUGGUGGACAUCGUGCAGGGCCGAGACACCCUCUACCACGUCAUGUACAUCGGCACUGAAUACGGCACCAUCCUGAAGGCCCUCUCCACGACCAAUAAGAGCAUGCGUGGGUGUUACCUGGAAGAGAUGAGGCUCCUCCCUGAGGGCGAAAGCGAGCCAAUCAAGAGCCUUCAAAUCCUCCACAGCGAUAGGUCGUUGUUUGUGGGGCUUAGCGACAGGGUGCUGAAGAUCCCACUGGAAAGAUGCUCCAGCUACAAAACUGAACGGCACUGCCUGGACGCCCGAGACCCCUACUGUGGCUGGGACCGUAAGCAGAAGCGUUGCACCACCAUCGAGGACAGUUCCAACAUGAGCCAGUGGAGCCAGAAUAUCACUGAGUGCCCGGUAAGGAACCUGACCCAGGACGGUGGCUUCAGCCCCUGGGCGCCAUGGCAACCCUGUAACCAUGACGACAGGGAGGGAGCCAGCACCAGUUGCGCGUGUCGCUCACGCUCUUGUAACAGUCCAGUCCCUCAGUGUGGAGGCUCCAACUGCAAGGGCCCCACCAUCCAGGUGGCCAACUGUUCCAGGAACGGAGGCUGGACCCCCUGGUCCACCUGGGGUCAGUGCAGCACCAGCUGUGGCAUCGGGUACGAGGUGCGCCAGCGCUCCUGCAACAACCCCUCCCCCCGGCAUGGGGGGCGUGUCUGUGUGGGACAAGGCCGAGACGAGAGGCUGUGCAAUGAGAAGAGCCCAUGUCCCAUGCCUGUGUUCUGGACAUCUUGGGGCUCCUGGUCUCAGUGCAGUGCAAAGUGUGGAGGAGGGGUCCAUUCCCGGGUCAGGAGCUGUGAGAAGGGGAACACCUGCCCAGGAUGUGCUCUGGAGUACAAGACCUGUAACCUGGAGGCGUGUCCGGAGGUCCGUCGCAACACCCCCUGGACCCCCUGGAUGCCGGUGAAUGUGACCCAGGACGGGGCCCGCCAGGAGCAGAGGACCCGCUACACCUGCAGGGCCCUCCUUCCAGACCCUCAUCAGCUGCAGCUGGGCAAGAAGAAGGUGGAGACCCGCGUCUGCCCCAACGACGGCACCGCCGCCUGUGAGACUGAAGCUCUGGUUGAAGACUUGGUCAGGGCCAGUGGAGGAGGCAGUAGUGGUCGACCUUUGCUCCGACAACCAGGUGGCACCAGGUGGUCGCCGUGGGAGACAUGGUCGACCUGCUCCCAGGAGUGUGCCAAAGGCUUCCGCACACGCAAGCGCACCUGUGCCUCAGCCGAGGGCAAGAGCAGCCCCAGUGCCUGUAGUGGAUCCCCAGUGGAGUACCAGGACUGCAACUCCCAGCCCUGCCCAGGUAAGACACUGACUACUCCAGUGCCUGUAGUGGAUCCCCAGUGGAGUACCAGGACUACAACUCCCAGCCCUGCCCAGGUAAGACACUGACUACUCCAGUGCCUGUAGUGGAUCCCCAGUGGAGUACCAGGACUACAACUCCCAGCCCUGCCCAGGUAAGACACUGACUACUCCAGUGCCUGUAGUGGAUCCCCAGUGGAGUACCAGGACUACAACUCCCAGCCCUGCCCAGGUAAGACACUGACUACUCCAGUGCCUGUAGUGGAUCCCCAGUGGAGUACCAGGACUACAACUCCCAGCCCUGCCCAGGUAAGACACUGACUACUCCAGUGCCUGUAGUGGAUCCCCAGUGGAGUACCAGGACUACAACUCCCAGCCCUGCCCAGGUAAGACACUGACUACUCCAGUGCUACUGUAUAUCUGCUCAAAUACUGUACUGAUCAAUUCACCUAACGGGCAGUGUAGAACCGAGAUUGGGAUUCCUUCAAAGCUGACAAUAGCCUUUCUCGGAGAUCGCAUUCAUGGUAAAAGCUGCUUAAGCGUAAAUUUCCUUUAAAAGUCUGUAGUGAAAAACAAACUGGUCUAUAAUAAACAUGAAUAAAAUGUUUUGUUUUCAUGUGCAGAAAAACAUGUUAAAAAAACCUCCGUAUCUGGAUAAAUAGUUAACCCCUUACACUCGUGGGCCUUUAUGGAUUGGGCUAAAUUGAAAUGUUUCUUGCAGAAGAAAUAUGGAAAGUAUAUGCAUAACCAUGAUAGCAAUUAAAAGGGAACAGUUGGAGAUGAUGGGAAAAUGAUGACUAAAGUUGAGGACACAACAGUUCACCUGACUGACACAAGACUGAAUCCAAUUUACGUGCAUUUUACAUUUACUCUACUUUUUGACGCAUUUGUCGAUAACAAAAUCAAAGAAGUGUCAACUAUAAGGUACUAUUUUUAGCUCUCCUUGUUGUUUUGUUUGGAACACAACCUGCAUCCCUCCUUCACACAAUUACUGUUGUUGUUUUGUUUGGAACACAACCUGCAUCCCUCCUUCACACAAUUACUGUUGUUGUUUUCGCAUUCCAAAAACAGUCCAUUAUAAAUCACAAUCUGGGUCAGAUGGGCAUCAGUUGAAAGCUUGUUCUACUGCCAACAUGACUAGCUAAAUGAUAAAAUACGUUUUUUCACAAGGCAAUUCAGAGAAGCAGGUCAUCAUUUUGAUGCGCAUAGAAUGGAGUCAUGAACAGUGGUGUUAAGUACUUAAGUAAAAAUACUUUCAAAUACUACUUAAGUAGUUUUUUGGCAUAUCUGUACUUUACUAUUUAUAUUUUUGACAACUUUUGCUUUUACUCCAAUACAUUCCUAGUAGAAAAUAAUGUACUUUUUACUCCAUACAUUUUCCUUAACACCCAAAAUUACUAGUUACAUUUUGAAUGCUUUGCAGGACAGGAAAAUGGUCUAAUUCAUGCACUUAUCAAGAGAACAUCCUUGGUCAUCCCUACUGCCUCUGAUCUGGCAGACUCACUAAACAGAGAACAUCCUUGGUCAUCCCUACUGCCUCUGAUCUGGCAGACUCACUAAACACAAAUGCUUAGUUUGUAAAUGAUGUCUGAGUGUUGAAGUGUGCCCCUGGCUAUCCGUAAAUGUAAAAAAACAAGAAAAUCAUACCGUCAGGUUUGCUUAAUAUUAGGAAUUUGAAAUUAUUUAUACUUUUACUUUUGAUACCUACAGUUGAAGUGGGAAGUUUACAUACACCUUAGCCAAAUACAUUUAAACUCAGAUUUUCACAAUUCCUGACAUUUAAUACUAGUAAAAUACCCUGUCUUAGGUCAGUUAGGAUCACCACUUUAUUUUAAGAAUGUGAAAUGUCAGAAUAAUAGUAGAUAGAAUUAUUUAUUUCAGCUUUUAUUUACUUCAUCAUGGGUAGCCUUCCACAAGCUUCCCACAAUAAGUUGUGUGAAUUUUGGCCCAUUCCUCCCAACAGAGCUGGUGUAACUGAGUCAGGUUUGUAGGCCUCCUUACUCGCACACGCUUUUUCAGUUCUGCCAACAAAUUUUCUUUAGGAUUGAGAUCAGGGCUUUGUGAUGGCCACUCCAAUACCUGACUUUGUUGUCCUUAAGCCAUAACUUUGGAAGUUUGCUUGGGGUCAUUGGAAAUUUGGAAGACCCAUUUGCGACCAAGCUUUAACUUCCUGACUGAUGUCUUGAGAUGUUGCUUCAAUAUAUCCACAUACUUUUCUUCCCUCAUGAUGCCAUCUAUUUUGUGUACCCCCACAACAUGAUGCUGCCACCCCUGUGAUUCACGGUUGGGAUGGUGUUCAUUGGCUUGCAAGCCUCCCCCUUUUUCCUCCAAACAUAACGACGGUUAUUAUGGCCAAACAGUUCUAUUUUUGUUUCAUCAGACCAGAGGACAUUUCUCCAAAAAGUUCAAUCUUUGUCCCAAUGUGCAGUUGCAAACCGUAGUCUGGCUUUUUUAUGGCGGUUUUGGAGCAGUGGCUUCUUCCUUGCUGAGCGGCCUUUCGGGUUAUGUCGAUAUAGGACUCGUUUUACUAUGGAUAUAGAUACUUUUGUACCUGUUUCCUCCAGCAUCUUCACAAGGUCCUUUGAUGUUGAUCUGGGAUUGAUUUGCACUUUUCACACCAAAGUACGUUAAUCUCUAGGAGACAGAACGUGUCUCCUUCCUGAGCGGUAUGACGACUGCGUGGUCCCAUGGUAAUAAUAAUAUCCAAAGCGACUUACAGUCAUGUGUGCAUACAUUCUACGUAUGGGUGGUCCCGGGAAUCGAACCCACUACCCUGGCGUUACAAGCGCCAUGCUCUACCAACUGAGCUACAGAAGGACCACCCAUGGUGUUUAUACUUGCGUACAGAUUUGUACCUUCAGGCAUUUGGAUGAACCAGACAAGGAUGAACCAGACUUGUGGAGGUCUUGGCUGAUUUCUUUUGAUUUUCCCAUGAUGUCAAGCAAAGAGGCACUGAGUUUGAAGGUAGGCCUUGAAAUACAUCCACAGGUACACCUCCAAUUGGCUCAAAUGAUGUCAAUUAGCCUAUCAGAAGCUUCUAAAGCCAUGACAUAAACAGAUUUUCCAAGCUGUUUAAAGGCACAGUCAACUUAGUGUAUGUAAACUUCUGACCCACUGGAAUUGUGAUACAGUGAAUUAUAAGUUAAAUAAUCUGUCUGUAAGCAAUUGUUGGAAUAAUGACUUGUGUCAUGCACAAAGUAGAUGUCCUAACCAACUUGCCAAAACUAUAGUUUGUUAACAAGAAAUUUGUGGAGUGGUUGAAAAACGACUUUUAAUGACUCCAACUUCCGUCUUAUAUUUUUGUGAUUACAUGUACUUCUGAUACUUAAGUACAUUUAAGACCAAAUACUUUUAAACUUUUACUCAAGAAGUAUUUUACUGGGUGACUUUCACUUUCACUUCAUUUUCUUUUAAGGUAUCGAUACUUUUACUCAAGUAGGACAGUUGGGUACUUUUCCCACCACUGGGAAUGAAUGUAUUCUGCUGCGUGGUCCACGGAACAUGUUGACAAUGUAACUAACACAGACUCAUUCUGUUCAGGACAACCCAGGGUAUAACACAGACUCAUUCUGUUCAGGACAACCCAGGGUAUAACACAGACUCAUUCUGUUCAGGACAACCCAGGGUAUAACAGACUCAUUCUGUUCAGGACAACCCAGGGUAUAACACAGACUCAUUCUGUUCAGGACAACCCAGGGUAUAACACAGACUCAUUCUGUUCAGGACAACCCAGGGUAUAACUCAGACUCAUUCUGUUCAGGACAACCCAGGGUAUAACUCAGACUCAUUCUGUUCAGGACAACCCAGGGUAUAACACAGGCUCAUUCUGUUCAGGACAACCCAGGGUAUAACACAGGCUCAUUCUGUUCAGGACAACCCAGGGUAUAACACAGACUCAUUCUGUUCAGGACAACCCAGGGUAUAACACAGACUCAUUCUGUUCAGGACAACCCAGGGUAUAACACAGACUCAUUCUGUUCAGGACAACCCAGGGUAUAACACAGACUCAUUCUGUUCAGGACAACCCAGGGUAUAAC